GCAUUUGGAGACAACUCGAUUUUUCCCAUUUUUACACAACCUCAUAGUUACCUGACUUGUUUCUCUAUCUCAUCCUUCCAUAUGAUGUUGCUGAUGUUUAUGGAGAGGCCAGGUCAGGAAACAGCAUGUGGGGAGACCAUGUUGUACGGAGGGGUAAAAGGAGAGCGACACCAGUUUGCUACCCUCACCCAGUUUCAGGGGACCUCCACUCCUCCUUCGUGUGCCAGGCGUUCUUCCUCGGUUUCUGUGUCUGAGGCAGUGCCCUCUGUCAGAGUGUCACACCUCAUUGUAUAUGAGGCGGUUCCCAUGUCAUAGCCACUGGCCCCUUUGAGGAGGAUGUGGAAAGGCUGAAGGUGGAGACAUUCAGCUAAUUAGAGCCUAGGAGUGGUCAGAAGCACGCCAGCAGUGUUACUCGUCUGGCUCUCAGCAUCCAGAGAUGCCAUCUGCCCUGUGCACCAUGCUCUGUGUCAGUGUGUGACAGGACACAGCUUGUCAUUUUGGACUCCCAGGGGGUUCUGACAAGUGGCUAAGACAGUGGCUCCGCUCUGCUGGAUGUCGUUGCUAUGGAGACAUAUGGGGUCAGCCAGACCCUGGUCAUCAGUGUUCAGCGUUCGUCUUGCCAAAAAUUCAUCUGGCCAUGUCUCACAAGGAUUUGUCUGUCCUUUGCUAUCAAUCCUCCCGUCUCAUCCUCCUCUCUGCAUCCCGCUCAGAGACCACCUGGCACAGAUGACUGCAGAUUUUGACAGCCACUUUUUGGUGUCCAGCCUUUGUCUGCAGGACAAAGAGUUUUGGGGCGGACCCCUCUAAUACCUCCCUCACUGAACACACUUCCCGAAAUGUUGAUCCUGCUAUAUCUGCCUGGAGGAUGCACUGUGGAGUUAAGUACCACACAAACAGGGGAGCAUACAGCAAAUCAGUCUCUCAGGUCAGUAGGGUGUUUCAUAAGGAGUUUCAGGGCAGCCCAAAAGCAUCCUGGGACAGUGAUGUUUAUAGAUGCAUGUAUAGAUAAGCAAAUUUAUAGAGACUGUUCAUCUAUGGUACUGUGUCUUGUGUCUCCAGCUUAAAGUGGAGAUCAUUAUCCAAUUCCUUUCACGUUUGGAGAAUGACUGUUCGACCAAACAGCCUUACAUUACUCUGUUCCCGAGGAAUUCAACACCAACCUUUUAAUACCUGAAAAAACCAAAAGACCAGUCAGAACUUAAGUCCUUGUGCAAACACACACCACAUUUCUUUUUUACACUUAUGAAAUAUGUGUGACCAGAAUAAACCAAUAUCAACCAGCAGUCCCAAUCAUACCCAUCUUUUCUCAUAUUGCUUUUAAUGUGUCUAUCAGCUUCAUGCACCUUGUCACAGAGGAAAGCUACACAGAGCAAGGCUACACUCUGAGAUGCUGCACUUUAGCACCCCCCACCCACAACAUCACAUUUUACAUUGUGUACAGAUGUCGAGUGUCUGACCGCUCCCAGGAGGGGUCUCUGUUGCUGCUGCUCUCUACCAAACAUCUAAUUUCUCUCUCUCUGGGCCUCUUUGCAAGGUCAGUCCCCUCUCUGUCACAGCUGCUCUCAGGUGUCCCAGAGAGGCUGCCAUACCUCCUGGCGUUCCACUGCUCUGUGUCAGCCCUGUCCCCAACUGGCUCUCAGCCCAGGGUUGAGCGCACCGUGAUGGGCACCAAGGACAUGCUCUCAUCCCUCAAGGUGUGUCUCACACAAGCAUACACAGAAAAACACAUACACAGAAUUUGCUACACAGACAUCUAAAACCCUUGACUGAGCCUUAGAGUGUCUUUAAAGUCUCACAAGUACCUAAAAGCAAAUUCAGUUAUGUAGUAUGAAAUCUGUGCAUCUACAGCCUUAAAAUGAAUUAAUUCCACUUACAGGCAAAACAAGCUGUUCAGAGUCCUUUAUCAGCUGACAU